CCUACGGGAGGCAGCAGUGAGGAAUAUUGCGCAAUGGAGGCAACUCUGACGCAGCCAUGCCGCGUGCAGGAAGAAGGGCUACGCGUUGUAAACUGCUUUUAACCGGGAAGCGGUACCGGAGGAAUAAGCACCGGCUAACUUCGUGCCAGCAGCCGCGGUAAUACGAAGGGUGCAAGCGUUAUCCGGAUUCAUUGGGUUUAAAGGGUGCGUAGGUGGGGCGAUAAGUCAGUGGUGAAAUCCUGCGGCUUAACCGUAGAAUUGCCAUUGAUACUGUCGCUCUUGAGUACGCUUGACGUGGGCGGAAUGUGCCGUGUAGCGGUGAAAUGCUUAGAUAUGGCACAGAACACCGAUAGUGAAGACAGCUCACGAAGGGAACUGACACUGAGGCACGAAAGCGUGGGGAUCGAACAGGAUUAGAUACCCUUGUAGUC
rnacentral:rRNA from 1 species